CGUAAAGAGCCCUCUGGAGAAGUGCUGGUUUGUUCUCCUUGUGUGCUACUUGUUGCUGCCACAAGGUAUGAGGUGAGGGAAGAGCUGUGUCCCUGCUACCUUGUUUCUUCAUAACUCAGGAAGUCUCCGCUUGAGUCAUAGAAAGCAGCUCAGAUGCAGCCCCAGAGAAUGGGCCAAUUGAGUGCAGCUCCUGCUUCCCACCUAAAUUACUGCUAGAAGUGGACAAAAAGAAAGGAAAUGGAGACUGACUUACCUAGAAACAUCCAGAAUAUUUGGCUUUAAGGAACUACCUGCUUCUAUUGAAAAUGCUUCCCUCUUGGAGAGAAGGGAUAAAAGAGAGAACAACAUUAACUUAUUGAGUAGAUAUGGGUUGCAAUUUUUCUGUUAUGGCUUAUACAAUAUGCAGAAACACUUCUGUAAGUAAAAACAGGACUUUGUCUCCCUGCUCUUGGCUGAGCAUCCUUGCUAGUGGGUUAUACAUUAGUGAGAGACGGAACCAGGGAAGGGCAGGAGAGGGAUGUUCAGGAUGCUGGUUUAGGAUUUGAAAUACUCGGUUUAAGUCUCUUUUGCAAGCUGAAGUGAUUUGCCUACCGUACAGAAGCUUGUGAUUAUGCAGUGGCUUGUGCCUAGCUUUCCAAAGUCUAGGCUAGCAGUGUAAUGACUUCUAGACUCAACAAUUGAGUGUACCCACUAAUCUAAUCUAAUCGGUUUCUGGCCUAUUUUACAAAUAUAGGGUUCUCUAAGCAGUAGAUGGUCUGCAUGUGUAUUACAGAUUUAUACUGUGGUAUGUUUCUUUAAGCAAUAAUGCUCUUAGCCAAAUAAUUACUGAUUUCUUUUUCUUUCUUUUUUUUUUUUUUUCUUUUUCUGGGCUAAAUCAGAACGAUAAUAUUAAAAUCAAAACCUACCAAACUUAUGAUCAGAAAAGACUAAAUGUGAUCAGCUUCCGAUAUAUUUAUGAGCAGAUGCCUUUGUUAAGGACAAAUCCUAUCAAGAGGAGACAGUGUGUACUUCAAGCCCCAGCUUCCACGUGGGUAUCCCUUUCAGGAGUGCAACGUACUUUUCAGAGACUUAGGAAUGGGUGGCACUUCUUUUUGUAUGUAUAAUUAACCGUAAUCAUCCUAUCUCCAAAGUUACAUGUUACAGAACACACGAGUUCUGUUUCUAUAGAGAGAAUAACUAGAUAAUCCGAGGCGAAAAAAAGAAGUACCGUCUUUGAUGCACGUUUACUUCUGAAAUCUGCAUGCUGGCAGUAACUCAAAAACUAUAAUAAAGGAAAAAAUCUUUCUUUUCAUUUCCAUUUGCAAGGGUCAGUGAGAUGUUCUGUGUUUUGAAUGGAGCUGAAAUGAACAAUGUACAUUAUUUUUGUAACAAUAAUAUAUAUGCAGUGCGCCUUGCCUUUUUCUCUGCAUAUUGGAGCUGCUUACCUGAACUUGCAGAGCUGGCAAAAACUGUUAUAUUUUCAGAACUGUAGCUAAAGAGCAAGGAAAGAAGUAAGGGCUGUGGGGAAAAAAGAAGGAAGCUUUUUUUUUUUUUUUUCCUGUGUAAACUU